rnacentral:tRNA from 1 species
GGGGGUAUAUCUCAAUUGGUAGAGUAUCUGUUUUGCAGUCAGAAGAUUAUCGGUUCGACCCCGAUUACCUCCA